rnacentral:lncRNA from 1 species
CAUAGAUUCUAUUCUGUCUGGUAAUGAGAUAUAUUGUGAUCUCUAUCACAAUAUCAUUGAAACUCUUUUCAAUGGGUUGGAACCAUUCUAACUCUACCCAUCAAGAAUUAUCGAUCAUCAAGAUGAUGCUUGUGGAUCUCACAAUCUAUCAGUAACACCUAAUAGUAUGUAGUAACAAUCCAGCAGAAUAAAAAAUGAUGAACCUCUAGGUGCAGUUAACGUAUGAUACAGUGUCAUGGCCCAAAACCAAACCCAAGCCCAACUAUCUAAGAUCCAAGCCCAUUAAAAAAAAAAUAGAAAAAAAAUCGGGAAGAAGACUCCCUAUAGGAGUCUUCUUCUCCGACGAGACCCGGACAAAUUGGGAGUCCUAAGACCUCUCGAAGUCCUAGGGCCCUCUAUAAGAAGCCCCCCCUUUUCCUAGAGACCCAACAUCGGCCCCCUUCCUCUCUCUUUCUCCCUAUUUUUUCCGAUCGGAGCCGCGGACACCGUUUUGAUUCUCGCCGUGAUUGCCUACCGGUGGGGUCACCGGAGGCCAAGGUGAGUCUUCCUCUUCUUCCUCUCUUCCUUUCCUUCCUCCCGUGCAUUUGUGCGUGGCUGCCGGCGAUGGGAGUCGCUGAUUUUUGGUCGGAAAAGAGACCUCUGUUUCGGUCUCUUUUUCCUUGGAUUUUUUGGCGCCGGCGAUCGCAAUCGACCACCGGCCAUGCUCCUCCGUAAUCGGGGGAGUGGCCCCCCUCUGCCACCGGCCUCUGCCGCGGCGGUCGUGGCCUGAACGGCCUGGCACAAGGAGGGGACUGCCGUCCCCUAUUCGGCCUG